AUAACAUGCUUUGUUAGCUUCUUUCCUUAAGAGAAGUCUGCUACAAGCCAAAGGAAGCUAAUCUAAGGAAUCUCCAGGAACAAAGGAAGCCCCAGUGUAAUCCUGACCUACAGCUGUUUCUGUGUCUUUUGAUCAGCUGCAAGAAGUCACAGAAAGCAGCAUGGAUAAAAGUUGUACCUCUAAUACAACUUUUGGUCAAUCAAGCAGAAAUUCUGCUCAAUCAAGUAGGAAACAACUCUCUAAUCAAGGAACUACCAAGGGAAAAAAACCACAUCUCCAUCAACACUGGCAAGUCAAGCUACUGCUUAUAAAUGGGGAGCAAAUGCCAAACUCCCUAGCACUGAUGAUGUUACCUAAUUGGGUAAUGAAACAUCUGCAAGCAAGCAAGCAAGCUCAGACAGCACCAAGGACUCUACUAUUGUAUCUCUCAAUGCACACCUUUCAUUGUACUGCACAAUAUGAUUGAAUAUGAUUCACACUAGUUUUGGAGAAAAGCAAAUAAAGAUAAAUGGUUUCGUAGUCCAACGUAGAUGCCCUUAUUUUCACUUACCAAAUUCUAUGCUCUUCAGUGUUCUGUACCAAAAU